rnacentral:rRNA from 1 species
GGGAAGGAGCGGGGGCGGGGGCGGGGGUUUGUGGGUAGCGGUACGCCGGUGGCUCUCCGCCGCCUCCAAAGGCGCCUGCGCCGCCGCUGGCUCCACCGGCGAAGCCACCUCCGCCGGCGCCGCCGCCGCCAUCCCCGGCGAAGCCACCUCCGCCGCCGCCCAAGGCGCUGCUCCCGGGAGGUCGGCUCCAGCAGCUCCACAGCUGCAAGGACGUGCGGACGCUCCCCCUGCGCCAUUGCUUCGACUGCUUGCUCUUUCACGGGAUGAAGUUGCGCGGGUAUAUGGAGGUCUUGUUCUGGGUCUAGCCGUUUCAGCUGCUCUAGAAGCCGGGGUAGUUGCUUAGUAUAAAGAGCCAGUUCUACAAGCUCCCUCAGUAACGUUGUAGAAUGUUGCUUCCACUGUUCAAGAAGUAACUGGGGUACUUCGACGACGGGGAGAGUGCGAAGGACGGCGUCGGUUUCCCGAGCUGAGGUUCUCCACCACCAGCGCCACCUUCUCCACCACCAGCGCCACCUAAACCACCGGCACCACCUAAGGCACCUUCUCCACGUGGUUCCCCAGCACCUGGAGGGUCCCCACCUCCCGCACCAAAGUCUCCUGCUCCGUCUAAGAUCCUACAUCAAAAAUCAAACGACAAACAACUUUGUACUACGAGAUGUAAUAGACAAGUCGACCUUUGUAAUACGAUUCAGUCGACGCUCGCGUGAAACACACCUUCAACUAAGUUUCACGUGAGGGUCCCCACCUCCCGCACCAAAGUCUCCUGCUCCGUCUAAGAUUCUACAUCAAAAUUCAAACGACAAACAACUUUGUACUACGAGAUGUAAUAGACAAGUCGACCUUUGUAAUACGAUUCAGUCGACGCUCGCGUGAGACACACCUUCAACUAAGUUAUAAACAUACUUACUUUACAACAGUUCACAACUCAAUUACAACCACAUAGUAUUAAUGAACAUUUCCACGAAUAUAUCACUAUUGUAAGAGCUAUAACCAUAUAAUAGGCUAAUCAU